rnacentral:rRNA from 1 species
GAUGAACGCUGGCGGCGUGCUUAACACAUGCAAGUCGAACGGAAAGGCCAGUGCUUGCACUGGUGCUCGAGUGGCGAACGGGCGAGUAACAAGUGGGUGAUCUGCCCUGCACUUUGGGAUAAGCAUGGGAAACUGGGUCUAAUACCAGAUAGGACCAUGCUUUGGUUGGUGUGGUGGAAAGUUUUGUCGGUGUGGGAUGAGCUUGCGGCCUAUCAGCUUGUUGGAGGGGUAAUGGCCUACCGAGGCGUCGACGGGUAGCCGGCCUGAGUGGGUGUACGGCGACAUUGGGACCGAGAGACGGCCCAGACUCCGACGGGAGGCAGCAGUGGGGAAGAUUGAACAAGGGGCGCCAGCCUGAUGCAGCGACGCCGCGUGGGGGAUGACGGCCUUGGGGUUGUAAACUCCUUUCGCAACUGACGAAGCUUUUUGUGACGGUAGGUUGCGAAGAAGCACCGGCUAACUACGUG